UUAGCUCACUAAUGGGCCGCCGGAAAAACUGCAAAGCUAGGGAGUGGGAGAGGUAGACGGUACUCGGUAGGAAGGGGUAAAAUCCUUUGAUCUAUCGAUGACCACCUGUGGCGAAGGCGGUCUACCAGAACACGUUCGACGGUGAGGGAUGAAAGCUGGGGGAGCAAACCGGAUUAGAUACCCGGGUAGUCCCAGCUGUAAACGAUGCAGACUCGGUGAUGCGCUGGCUUGUGGCUAGUGCAGUGCCGCAGGGAAGCCGUUAAGUUUGCCGCCUGGGAAGUACGUACGCAAGUAUGAAACUUAAAGGGAUUGGCGGGGGAGCACCACAAGGGGUGAAGCCUGUGGUUCAAUUGGAGUCAACGCCAGAAAUCUUACCCGAGGAGACAGCAGAAUGAAGGUCAAGCUGGAGACUUUACCAGACAAGCUGAGAAGUGGUGCAUGGCCGUCGCCAGCUCGUGCCGUGAGAUGUCCUGUUAAGUCAGGUAACGAGCGAGAUCCCUGCCUCUAGUUGCCACCAUUACCCUCAGGAGUAGUGGGGCGAAUUAGCGGGACCGCCACAGUUAAUGUGGAGGAAGGAAGGGGCCACGGCAGGUCAGUAUGCCCCGAAAAUCU
rnacentral:rRNA from 1 species